rnacentral:rRNA from 1 species
ACUCCUACGGGAGGCAGCAGUGGGAAUAUUGCACAAUGGGGGAAAGCCCAUGAUGCAGCCAUGCCGCGUGUGUGAAGAAGGCCUUCGGGUUGUAAAGACACUUUCAGUAGGGAGGAAGGUAGUGUGUUAACACCUGGCAUUAUUUUGACGUUACCUACAGAAGAAGCACCGGCUAACUCCGUGCCAGCAGCCGCGGUAAUACGGAGGGUGCGAGCGUUAAUCGGAAUUACUGGGCGUAAAGCGCAUGCAGGCGGCCUGUUAAGUCAGAUGUGAAAG